CGAAUGCUGACAUAAGUAACGAUAAAGCGGGUGAAAAGCCCGCUCGCCGGAAGACCAAGGGUUCCUGUCCAACGUUAAUCGGGGCAGGGUGAGUCGACCCCUAAGGCGAGGCCGAAAGGCGUAGUCGAUGGGAAACAGGUUAAUAUUCCUGUACUUGGUGUUACUGCGAAGGGGGGACGGAGAAGGCUAUGUUGGCCGGGCGACGGUUGUCCCGGUUUAAGCGUGUAGGCUGGUUUUCCAGGCAAAUCCGGAAAAUCAAGGCUGAGGCGUGAUGACGAGGCACUACGGUGCUGAAGCAACAAAUGCCCUGCUUCCAGGAAAAGCCUCUAAGCAUCAGGUAACAUCAAAUCGUACCCCAAACCGACACAGGUGGUCAGGUAGAGAAUACCAAGGCGCUUGAGAGAACUCGGGUGAAGGAACUAGGCAAAAUGGUGCCGUAACUUCGGGAGAAGGCACGCUGAUAUGUAGGUGAAGCGACUUGCUCGUGGAGCUGAAAUCAGUCGAAGAUACCAGCUGGCUGCAACUGUUUAUUAAAAACACAGCACUGUGCAAACACGAAAGUGGACGUAUACGGUGUGACGCCUGCCCGGUGCCGGAAGGUUAAUUGAUGGGGUCAGCGCAAGCGAAGCUCUUGAUCGAAGCCCCGGUAAACGGCGGCCGUAACUAUAACGGUCCUAAGGUAGCGAAAUUCCUUGUCGGGUAAGUUCCGACCUGCACGAAUGGCGUAAUGAUGGCCAGGCUGUCUCCACCCGAGACUCAGUGAAAUUGAACUCGCUGUGAAGAUGCAGUGUACCCGCGGCAAGACGGAAAGACCCCGUGAACCUUUACUAUAGCUUGACACUGAACAUUGAGCCUUGAUGUGUAGGAUAGGUGGGAGGCUUGGAAGUGUGGACGCCAGUCUGCAUGGAGCCGACCUUGAAAUACCACCCUUUAAUGUUUGAUGUUCUAACGUUGACCCGUAAUCCGGGUUGCGGACAGUGUCUGGUGGGUAGUUUGACUGGGGCGGUCUCCUCCUAAAGAGUAACGGAGGAGCACGAAGGUUGGCUAAUCCUGGUCGGACAUCAGGAGGUUAGUGCAAUGGCAUAAGCCAGCUUGACUGCGAGCGUGACGGCGCGAGCAGGUGCGAAAGCAGGUCAUAGUGAUCCGGUGGUUCUGAAUGGAAGGGCCAUCGCUCAACGGAUAAAAGGUACUCCGGGGAUAACAGGCUGAUACCGCCCAAGAGUUCAUAUCGACGGCGGUGUUUGGCACCUCGAUGUCGGCUCAUCACAUCCUGGGGCUGAAGUAGGUCCCAAGGGUAUGGCUGUUCGCCAUUUAAAGUGGUACGCGAGCUGGGUUUAGAACGUCGUGAGACAGUUCGGUCCCUA
rnacentral:rRNA from 1 species